UACGUAGGGCGCGAGCGUUGUCCGGAAUUAUUGGGCGUAAAGAGCUCGUAGGCGGCCGGUUGCGUCUGCUGUGAAAUCCCGGGGCUUAACCCCGGGCGUGCAGUGGAUACGGGCCGGCUGGAGGCAGGCAGGGGAGAAUGGAAUUCCCGGUGUAGCGGUGAAAUGCGUAGAUAUCUGGAGGAACACCGGUGGCGAAGGCGGCAUCCUGGACCGGUAUUGACGCUGAGGCGCGAAAGCUAGGGGAGCAAACGGGG
rnacentral:rRNA from 1 species